CUGCAGGAGGUUUCUUGGGAGUUCAGCCCAGCGCGCAGCCCCGCCGCGACGCCGCGAGCCGAGAACUCUCCUGGGGCGAAGGGAGCGCUGAGAAGUCGCUACUCUUACUAAAAGGAUGCGUUGGAUGCUGGGCCAUACCCUUGGCGAUGCACACUGGAGACCCGCUCGGAUACGGACUCCAUUAACAUCAAACGGAGCGUGUUAGAGGAUCCGAGUUUACUGAGCACUUUCUAGGAAGCGUGCACUGAGCUACGUGCUUUCUAGGCCUUAGUUCAAUACUUAACCAUAUUCAUUAUAAUCCGGUGAAAUCGUAAUUAUUUAGCCUUAUUUUACAGAUGAGGACACUGCGUACCAACAAGUAACCUCACUAAGAAUUUCGUCAUGGAGGAGAAGGGAACCUGUAUUCAAAUUAGGAAGGAUCCUGAAGAAAGGGCACCUUUAGGUGGAAUUUUAUCUUUGGUUCUGCUGCAGAGUACUUGCUGCUUUUUAGUGCUCCCUCCACCCCCCUCAUUCUUCCUUGUAGAUUAGUCUGUUGUUUGUAUGCUGAGUUCCUUUUUUAAGCUCCUUGAAAGUUGGAACCCACUGCUGUUGCCUGUUCAGGAUGCUACACAUUGAAUCAACAUGGAUUUAUUAAGCGCUGAACGAGGGCUAGGGAUCGUGCUGGGUGCUGAGGAUUGAGUGGCGAACACUUGGGUCAGACAAGUAAAAGGGCAAUUAGAAUAACUGUUAAAUGCUUAGAUGGGGUUAGUUCUAUGGAAGCACCCAUGGGGGUGGGAUACAGAUCAGAGAGAAAAGGGUGGUCUGCAAAUAGUUUGGGAUGGCUACACUGGAGAGUGAUCAAGAGUGAGUGUAGGGCAGGGGUUGGCCGACUUUUUCCAUAAAGUGCUCUGAAAGUUGCAGAUUCCAGGAGAAGUAACUAUUGUCAGACCCAGACAAAUUGGAGCCUAGAGACCAGAAAGGAAGGAAACUCAUGCUUGUAUGUCUGAGAUAAGAACUGUCUCAAGGCCAGACGCGGUGGCUCACACCUGUAAUCCUAGUACUUUGGGAGGCCGAGGCGGGCGGAUCACGAGGUCAGGAGUUUGAGACCAGCCUGGCCAACGUGGUGAAAUUCCCGUCUCUACUAAAAAUACAAAAAAAAAAAAAAAAAACUGGGUGUGGUGGCGGGCGCCUGUAAUCCCAGCUACUGAGGAGGCUGAGGCAGGAGAAUCGCUUGAACUCGGAGGAGGUUAUAGUGAGCCGAGAUCGUGCCACUGCACUCCAGCCUGGGCGACAGAGCAAGACUCCGUCUCAAAAAAAAAAAAAAAGAAAGAACGAACUGCCUCAAGGACUUUAAAAAAUAAACCAAAAAACCCACAAUUUCUUCACAUCUUUCAUGCAUUUAAUGUUUUGCACAACUUGCUUGUUUUGCAAAUAUGCGCACAUUUCUAUGACAAGAUUUAUUGCUAAAUAUUCUUUAAAACUGCAGCAGUUCAGAUAAGAUACUGUCGAAAGGACGUUUGGCCCAGCAGCAGGACCUCCACCAAUGAACGGACUCCAAUUCUUGAUUUGAGCCUUGGGAACCAAUCAACUUAGUUUCCAAGAGUUUAUGUGAACUUCCCUCCUUUACCAGUAAAAUCUUCCCCCUAUUCUUCCCUUCUCCAGACCCGUGGCUUGCCAUAGCUGUACAUCUUGGAUUAUAAUUCUUUUUGUUCACUCCCAAAGAAACUCAGUAUCUUUGGAGAAUUCUUUCUUUGUUGUCUUUUAGCUUCCCAGAGCCAAACAAGAAAUAUUUUAGGUUUUGUGGGUCAUGCUGGCUUGGUCACAGCUAUUCAACUUGUAUCUUAAAAUUAGCCAUAGACAGUAUGAAUGGGUGGGUCUCUGUUCCAAUAAAACCUUAUCCUAAACACUGAAGUUUGAAUUUUAUGUAAUUUUCAACUGUCAUGAAAUACUCAUCUUUUGAUCUUUUUCAGCCACUGAAAAAUGUAAAAGCCAUCCUUAAGUUGCAAGCUAUACAAAAACAGACAGUGGACUGGAUUUGACCCUUGAGCCAUUUGUCCAUGUGCCCUCACCUGAUCUAGAAAGCUAAAAUGCACAUGCCUCACGCCUGUAAUCCCAGCACUUUGGGAGGCCAAGGUGGGCGGAUCAGCUGAGGUUAGGAGUUCGAGACCAGCCUGGGCAAUAUGGAGAAACUCUACUAAAAGUACAAAAAAAUUAGCUGGGCGUGGUGGCAGGUGC
rnacentral:lncRNA from 1 species